rnacentral:rRNA from 1 species
AUCGGUGACAGGUGGUGGCAUGGUUGUCGUCAGCUCGUGUCGUGAGAUGUUGGUUAAGUCCGCAACGAGCGCAACCCCUAUUGUUAGUUGCCAUCAUUCAGUUGGGCACUCUAGCGAGACUGCCGGUAAUAAACCGGAGGAAGGUGGGGAUGACGUCAAAUCAUCAUGCCCCUUAUGACCUGGGCUACACACGUGCUACAAUGGUUGGUACAACGAGUUGCGAGUCGGUGACGGCGAGCUAAUCUCUUAAAGCCAAUCUCAGUUCGGAUUGUAGGCUGCAACUCGCCUACAUGAAGUCGGAAUCGCUAGUAAUCGCGGAUCAGCACGCCGCGGUGAAUACGUUCCCGGGCCUU